rnacentral:rRNA from 1 species
AUUGAACGCUAGCGGCAGGCUUAACACAUGCAAGUCGAGCGGGGUGAUGGUGCUUGCACUAUCACUUAGCGGCGGACGGGUGAGUAAUGCUUAGGAAUCUGCCUAUUAGUGGGGGACAACAUCUCGAAAGGGAUGCUAAUACCGCAUACGUCCUACGGGAGAAAGCAGGGGAUCACUUGUGACCUUGCGCUAAUAGAUGAGCCUAAGUCGGAUUAGCUAGUUGGUGGGGUAAAGGCCUACCAAGGCGACGAUCGGUAGCGGGUCUGAGAGGAUGAUCCGCCACACUGGGACUGAGACACGGCCCAGACUCCUACGGGAGGCAGCAGUGGGGAAUAUUGGACAAUGGGGGGAACCCUGAUCCAGCCAUGCCGCGUGUGUGAAGAAGGCCUUAUGGUGUAAAGCACUUUAAGCGAGGAGGAGGCUCUUUUGGUUAAUACCCAAGAUGAGUGGACGUUACUCGCAGAAUAAGCACCGGCUAACUCUGUGCCAGCCGCCGCCGUAA